rnacentral:rRNA from 1 species
CCUACGGGAGGCAGCAGUGGGGAUAUUGCACAAUUGGGGAAACCCUUAUACAACGACGCCGCGUGUGAGAAGACGGUCCUCUGGAUUGUAAACCACUGUCCCCAGGGACGAAGAUGGCGGUACCUGGGGAGGACGCCCCGGCUAACUACGUGCCAGCAGCCGCGGUAAUACGUAGGGAGCGAGCGUUGUCCGGAAUUACUGGGUGUAAAGGGGGCGUAGGCGGGACUGCAAGUUGGGUGUCAAAUCUACCGGCUCAACCGGUAGCCGCACUCAAAACUGCAGUUCUUGAGUGAAGUAGAGGCAGGCGGAAUUCCUAGUGUAGCGGUGAAAUGCGUAGAUAUUAGGAGGAACACCAGUGGCGAAGGCGGCCUGCUGGGCUUUUACUGACGCUGAGGCUCGAAAGUGUGGGGAGCAAACAGGAUUAGAUACCCUAGUAGUC